GACGAACGCUGGCGGCGUGCCUAAUACAUGCAAGUCGAGCGAAUCUUGAGGUGCUUGCACCUCUUGGUUAGCGGCGGACGGGUGAGUAACACGUGGGCAACCUGCCUGUAAGACUGGGAUAACUUCGGGAAACCGGAGCUAAUACCGGAUAAUCCUUUUCCUCUCAUGAGGAAAGGCUGAAAGUCGGUUUCGGCUGACACUUACAGAUGGGCCCGCGGCGCAUUAGCUAGUUGGUGAGGUAACGUCUCACCAAGGCGACGAUGCGUAGCCGACCUGAGAGGGUGAUCGGCCACACUGGGAAUGAGACACGGCCCAGACUCCUACGGGAGGCAGCAGUAGGGAAUCUUCCGCAAUGGACGAAAGUCUGACGGAGCAACGCCGCGUGAGCGAUGAAGGCCUUCGGGUCGUAAAGCUCUGUUGUUAGGGAAGAACAAGUAUCGGAGUAACUGCCGGUACCUUGACGGUACCUAACCAGAAAGCCACGGCUAACUACGUGCCAGCCGCCGCAGUAACAC
rnacentral:rRNA from 1 species